ensembl:lncRNA
AUGCAGUUCCAUUUCAGAGUGUUUCAUUCUGCACAACAAUGGGAGCAGCUGUGUGAGAUCUCAGACCACAAGACAGGCAGCCUCAUCUAUCUCCAGACUGCCACGCCGGAGUUUCCAGACGAAAAGGAACGCGCCGAGGCGAAGCUUCUCUCGCGCCGGUUUCAGAUGUCCCCCUCCUCGGUUAGGGACGGGGACGCCGCACUGCCGCGGGUUUCCUUCUCUUUCCCUUUUGGGGGAGCUCCCCUCUGCCAAGCCAGACGUCCGCCUCCAAGUUCGCCUUCGCGCACCGCGCCGCCCUCAACCCGCCACAUGCGCCCAUCAGCCCCGUACCCCGCAGGGCCCCGGCUGGGCGCCCGCUGGAUGGUUCUCGAGGACUCGGGCUUUGAGGGGAGUUUUUUUCUUAAACAAAAAGCCUUAGCGGCCAGCCGCCCCCUCCUCCAAGCCCGCGCCACCUUCCCUUCACGCCCACGCCGCACCUCCCCGACACACGCGCUGCGAGGUGCCUCUCCCGCCAGACAAUGGGUUCGGGGCCGNNCAGUCAGCCAACCCCCAGCCCCAUGCCCCAUUCCGGGACCCCAAGAAGGCUUGGCGCGGGGAGAUCGGAGGAGGCCAAGGGAGGCCACAAUAAGCGAAGCGGGCGCCUCCCCCUUGGGACCGGGGAUUCGCUCCCGGGGCGCGGAGAAGGGAAGAGGGCGGGGGUCAGCUGCACCGCCUGGUCUGGGGCCCCGGGGCCCGGCUCCCGGCCGCCGCCGCGCACUCACCAGCACGAUGGCAAAUCGCUCCUCCAGUUCACCUGGCUCGGGCAUCGGCAGCUUCAAAGGCACGUUGUGCGCCCUGAAAUCGGUCUGCUGUGAAUCCAUGCUCCCGGCGUUGCCCAUGUUGGCUGCACGCCGGGGCAGGGGACUACUCCGGGCCCCCUGCGUCCGCGUCGGAAAUCAGAACAGCUCCCGGCGGCCGGCUCCCGCCCGCUGGCACAAGCAGCCCGGCUCCCCGCCCUCCGCUGCGCCCCGGCGAGUGUGCAGCGCGCGCCGCUCCCUAGCAGCGCUCGGAGCCGAGCCGCCCCCCGGCCUGCCUCAUGCUCCCCGCCGCCCCAGCGCCGCCCCGGCCUCCUUUCCUCGGGAGGGGUCGUCAGGGCGCUGGGCGCCUAUCUGCAUGUUGCUCCGCUGGCACGCCGCCCCCUGCCAGCGAUAGCGGCCAACGGGAGCGUGGUUGCUCGGAGUUGGUCUCCCGCCGGGACAGUGAUCGCCGCUGACACUUCCAGCUCUACGCCGGCGAUCACGACGCUGGCUCGACCAGCACCUAGAGCAGACAAAUGCAGCUCCGCGCUCCCGACACAAUGCCCCCUCUCGCCCGGCCCCCGCCCCCGGCCCGGCUCCGCCCACUCGCCCCACGGACUGCCGGGACCAGUAGUUUCUGCCCAAAGUGUCUGCACGCAGAAACCACGCCCUCUCUGGAGGGCCCGGCUGGGUUAGGGCCGCUUGCAGGAAAGGCAAUCUGAGCACCUUCGGGAAGUGUCACUUUUGACCCCCACCCCCACGCCACUCCAACGGAAGAGAUACUAAUCGUCUACAUUGAUUAGUAGGCAAUCGGGCACAUUUGGCAAGUGAAUGAAUUAACCAGUCAAUGAUUGAAUNNNNNNNNNNNNNNNNNNNNNNNNNNNNNNNNNNNNNNNNNNNNNNNNNNNNNNNNNNNNNNNNNNNNNNNNNNNNNNNNNNNNNNNNNNNNNNNNNNNCAAGUGAAUGAAUUAACCAGUCAAUGAUUGAAUGCACGCAUUUUGAUUUAAAUUUCAGGAGCUGUUCAACAGGAGACCUCAUGGGUAUUGGCAACUUUCUCCGCCAUAAACUGGGAUGUGGGUCCAUGAGUGUUUGUUAUAUUGUUCUUUCUUCCAUGUGUAUGUUACACAUUCACAUAUUCUUUUGUGCAGUUGAAAUGUUUUAUAAACAAGUGUACUUUUGUGGAUAUUUACAAACUUUCAGAUGGAUAUAUACCUUUAUACAUCCUGGUCAGACCCCAGGAUUUGGAUGAGGAGGAUUCAAAACAAAUAUCUGUCAAAAAGCUAUUACGAAUGGGUGGGUUACUGUGUUCCUUGACUAGAGAAAGACUUUCCAGUCAAAUGAAGGAGAAAAUUUACACAACUAUGCUUUGCAUGAGAAAUAAGAACAGAGCAUUUGAAAAGGCUCUGGAGAUGGUCUUUGGCUGUAGCUGUUUUAUUCCUCUAUAGCACUCUUGUUCCAGGUAUUUUACAGAGAAGACUGGGCCCAACCCUGCCCUUCCUGAGUGCUCUUACAACUAUACUGUCCAUUCAGAGACAGUGGAAUUAGAGACAGCCUUAGAAAACGUGUAGCCACAUUACCCUUUGUAGAUUUCAAGGGUACCCACCUGGUUGACUUGUGGCUGCAGUCCUGUGAUUAGUCCUUUCUUAGCUUAAAAUAGUGUUUCUUAAUCCUGGUUCCUGUAUCAGAUUCACAUAGGGAGGUUGUUAAAACUGCACUGCAGGAUGGGCCCUGACUAUUAUCAGAAUUUCCCUAAGCUAAGAGCUAGGGCCGGGGUAUAUUUUUAACAAGCCCUCCAGGUGCUUCUGAUAUAAAACUG